rnacentral:rRNA from 1 species
UUAGUGGCGGACGGGUGAGUAACGCGUGGGGAACCUGCCUUGCACCGGGGAUAACACUUAGAAAUAGGUGCUAAUACCGCAUAAGCGCACAGAGCCGCAUGGCUCGGUGUGAAAACUCCGGUGGUGCAAGAUGGACCCGCGUCUGAUUAGCUGGUUGGCGGGGUAACGGCCCACCAAGGCGACGAUCAGUAGCCGGCCUGAGAGGGUGAACGGCCACAUUGGGACUGAGACACGGCCCAAACUCCUACGGAAGGCAGCAG